ACGCUCGACACCUACGGGAGCAGCAGUGGGGAAUAUUGGGCAAUGGGCGCAAGCCUGACCCAGCAACGCCGCGUGAAGGAAGAAGGCCCUCGGGUUGUAAACUUCUUUUGUCAGGGACGAAGCAAGUGACGGUACCUGACGAAUAAGCCACGGCUAACUACGUGCAGCAGCCGCGGUAAUCUGAGCGGGCUGGCAAGGC
rnacentral:rRNA from 1 species